GUAUAUUUUUAUACCCCACGCAACGAAGUUGCGGAGGGUAUAAUGUUUUUGACCCGUCCGUCCGUCCGUCAGUCCGUCCGUCAGUCCGUCCGUCCGUCCGUCCGUCAGUCCGUCAGUCCUGUUUCUUGUCAUCGCAACUCCUCUCAAACCACACAACAGAAUUUCACGAAACCUUUUCAGAUAAUAAGGACAUACUAUGUAGUUGUGCAUAUCGACGGGAAAUUGCGAUUCAAUUUUUUUUCUAGGAGUUACGCCCCUUUGAACUUAUUUACUUUAAUGUACUACUGCAACAGUUUGUCAUCGCAACUCCUCUCAAACCACACAACAGAAUUUCACGAAACCUUUUCAGAUAAUAAGGACAUACUAUGUAUUGUGCAUAUCGACGGGAAAUUGCGAUUCAAUUUUUUUUCUAGGAGUUACGCCCCUUUGAACUUCUUUACUUUAAUGUACUACUGCAACAGUUUGUCAUCGCAACUCCUCUCAAACCACACAACAGAAUUUCACGAAACCUUUUCAGAUAAUAAGGACAUACUAUGUAGUUGUGCAUAUCGACGGAAAUUGCGAUUCAAUUUUUUUCUAGGAGUUACGCCUCUUUGAACUUAUUUACUUUAAUGUACUACUGCAACAGUUUGUCAUCGCAACUCCUCUCAAACCACACAACAGAAUUUCACGAAACCUUUUCAGAUAAUAAGGACAUACUACGUAGAUGUGCAUAUCAACAGGAAAUUACGAUUCAAUUUUUUUUCUAGGAGUUAUGCCCCUUUGAACUUAUUUGCUUCAAUGUACUUCUGCAACAGUUUGUCAUCUCAACUCCUCUGAAAACACACAACAGAAUUUCAUGAAAUUUUGUAGAUAAUAAGGACA
rnacentral:lncRNA from 1 species